rnacentral:misc_RNA from 1 species
GUGAAUCAUCGAAUUUUUGAACGCAAAUUGCACUCUCCGCGGAGAGUGUGCCUGUUUGAGGGUCAGCCUAUAAAAAUCGUCAUCGUUGCUGGUUCACGGUGGCGUUCGUCGGUAGUUGUGGCAUCAUAAAUCCUUUUUAUUGAAGCGACUUAGAAUUUUCUUUUGGUUCAAUGAACGUUUCUCAGAUCUAUUUCUUUACACGUUUUGGGUAUCGAUGUUUACUAGACGUGA